GGCCCGGGACGUACGUCGAUGCUCUCCUCCUGGUGCCCGUGGGAUGCACCCAAGAAGAUCCAAGAGGGUGCACCCGGAACCACCAAAUCCUCCCUUCUCCCCUGCUUCCCACUCACUGUCGUGGCGCUAGGAGAUGAGGGAACGAAAGAGGAGAGGCUGAUGUGCCGAGCUUGUCCCACAGUUCCUGGUGGUCAGAGGACUCGCCCUCCUGCCCUAGACCAAAACUUUGCCGAAGAUUGACUCUGAUUUCUCCCUAAAUAACUUGUCUCGGUUUCAUGAGAGAUUUGCCGAGUGCAGAAACGAGCAGCCUUGGGAUGCUUAGACUAGGAUGUGGGUGAGAUGAUUGCCUCGGGAAUCGAGGGGAUCUGAAAGGGUGAAGAGUGGAGCGGGGCACUGGAACAGCUUGUGCGCCCCUGGGAGGCUCAACCCAGGCUGGGACGCUGACCCACCACCGAUUUCACGCUUGCUCUGAGUGGUCAGGGCCCCGGCAUUGCUCAGUCCAAGAACCUCUUCUUAGGGUGAUGGCAAUGAUUUGGGGCUUCAGAUGAAAUCCCUGCAGAUAGGAAAGUUCUCACCCAGCAUUUGGGAGGUGGGGGAAAGAGGGUCAGAAAUUCAAGGUCGUGCUAGGUUAUAUAGUCAGUUGUAGGCCAAGCUACAUACAGUUAGUUUACAAGAAACUAAAAUGUCUCUAAAAAAAAAAGAAAAAAAAAGAAAAAAAAAAAGUAGAGAUGGCCCAAUGGUUAAUCUCAGCACCAGGUGUUAAUCCUAGCACUCAGGAGGCAGAGGCAGUCAGAUCUCUGUGAGUUCAAGGCCAGCCUGGUCUACAAAGUAGGACAGCCAAGGCUACACAGAGAAACCUUCUGUUGAAACAAAGAACACAGAAUACGCUUGCUAAGUUCAGUUCCUGCCAGGCGAUGGUGGCGCACGCCUGUAAUCCCACCACUUGGGAGGCAGAGGCAGGUGGAUUUCUGAGUUCGAGGCCAGCCUGGUCUACAGAGUGAGUUCCAGGACAGCCAGGGCUAUACAGAGAAACCUUGUCUCAAACAAACAAACAAACAAACAAACAAAAAAGUUUAGUUCUCAGCACCCAUAUUGUACUGCUUACAACCUCUUGUAACUCCAGAUCCAGUUUCCCUUCUGGAAGCACUCACACUGCACACACUCACACAAUAUUUAAAAUAAACUGCCAGGCAUGGGAGCAGCUUUAGUCUCAGCACUCAGGAGGCAGAGGCCAGCGGGUGUUCAAGGCCAGCGGAAGGCACAUAGUGAGAUUUGUCUCAAAAAAAAAAAAAAAGUCUUUAAAAACAAGUCAGCUUAGCUUCACGUUGUGGCACACUCAAGAUAGUCAGGGCUAACAAACAUUUUUGUUUUGUUUUUGUUUUGAGACAGGGUCUCACUAUGUUCCUCCAACAUUCGUAGAAUUCACAUAUGUAGGUCAGGCUAGCCCUGGAACUCACAGAGACCCUCCUGCCUCUGUUUUCAGAGUUCUGGGUUCAAAAGUGCUCAAUACCAUUCCUAGCUACAUUUAUUUUUUUCUUGUUGUUGUUCUCCUCCUCCUCUUCUUCCUCCUCCUCCUCUUCCUUUUCUUCUUCUGUUUCUUUAAUGAGAGGUGAGUUUUUGUAUUCUCCACCACAUCCGUUAGGGUGCUGUAAAACAUGCCAGUGUGUGUAGGGCACAGACAAAAUGAAAGAACGGAACAGUCCGUGCCUCUUCCCUGCCUGUGACUUGUGAGGCUGCGCUCAGCGAUGGUGUAGCUGGUGACUAUCUCCAGGCGGAAGAAGCUGUAUCAUAGAACUAAGGGUGAGAAAAGGCGUGCGUUACAGGAUUUCCAAAAAUCCUAGGGCAGGAGUCAGCCCAGCGAGCAUCUGGAUCUGCGGACCGCAUUCCUGACCAGGGAGGAGCCAGGCCUGGAUAAGCCUGCCUGUUUGCCAGACAGAAAGGAAGCAGAAGAGAGGAGACUGAUGUUGGAGAAGCAGACGAGAGCUAAGAUUUCUCAGCUCCUACAGCUAUGGAGAGAGACGUAAUCAGAUUUGUGUUCUAGACUCUGGUUGCAGCAUGGAAAACAUUAUCACCGGACAACUAUGCUUUCCCCUGUGUGUAGGAGUCGGCCUGCCGGGAACAUGCAGAUCUCCCGGACCCGAAGGCUGGAAUCUACUCGGUCAGAACCUUUCUGUGCCAUGCUUGGGCUCCGUGGUGCCGAGGACCCACAUGGUGGACUAGAGCCUGUGGUUCGAGAAGAUGCCCUCAGCGCCCAGGCACGAGCUGCCAACACACCGGGGAACUUCCUGCAAACUGGCGCGUGGUCUGAGUCAAGUACGUGCUUCCGGGCUGCCAUCUUAACUUUCCGAUUUCAUUUUCUAACUAUAUUAAACAUGUACAUGAUCCCAAAAGCAAAGUUUACAAAAUAGCAUCACCUAGAGAUCUCUGCACUCCUACUUUACUGCAUUUGCCUUACCUUUGACCUACUCCAUCAAAAACAAGCAACCUGGCCUCAAGGAUAGCCAAGGCUAGCCCUGAAGUGAUCUUGACCAUAGUACCACCUCCACCACCACCUCUACCACCAC